rnacentral:rRNA from 1 species
GAUGAACGCUAGCGGGAGGCCUAACACAUGCAAGCCGAGCGGUAUUUCUUCUUCGGGAGAGAGAGAGCGGCGUACGGGUGCGGAACACGUGUGCAACCUGCCUUUAUCUAGAGGAUAGCCUUUCGAAAGGAAGAUUAAUACUCUAUAAUAUAUUAAUUGGCAUCAAUUGAUAUUGAAAACUCCGGUGGAUAGAGAUGGGCACGCGCAAGAUUAGCUAGUUGGUGAGGUAACGGCCCACCAAGGAAAUGAUAUUUAGGGGGCCUGAGAGGGUGAUCCCGCACACUGGUACUGAGACACGGACCAGACUCCUACGGGAGGCAGCAGUGAGGAAUAUUGGUCAAUGGGUGCAAGCCUGAACCAGCCAUCCCGCGUGAAGGAUUAAGGUCCUAUGGAUUGUAAACUUCUUUUGUAUAGGGAUAAACCUACCCUCGUGAGGGUAGCUGAAGGUACUAUACGAAUAAGCACCGGCUAACUCCGUGCCAGCAGCCGCAGUAACAC